rnacentral:rRNA from 1 species
CCGAGCCGAGCGGCGAACGGGUGAGUAACACGUAAGCAAUCUGCCCUGUAAUCGGGAACAACCGGGCCAACGCCCGGCUAAUGCCGGAUAUCGUGGCGAGUCCCCUGACUCGUUGACGAAAGAUUUAUCGUUACAGGAUGAGCUUGCGUCUGAUUAGCUAGUUGGCGGGGUAAAGGCCCACCAAGGCGACGAUCAGUAGCCGGCCUGAGAGGGUGAUCGGCCACAUUGGGACUGAGAUACGGCCCAGACUCCUACGGGAGGCAGCAGUAGGGAAUAUUGCGCAAUGGGGGAAACCCUGACGCAGCAACUCCACGUGUGGGAUGAAGCAUUUCGGUGUGUAAACCACUGUCGAGAGGGAAUAAUGUUUCGCUUCGGCGGAAUUGAAUGUACCUCUAAAGGAAGCACCGGCAAACUUCGUGCCAGCAGCCGCGGUAAUACGAGGGGUGCAAGCGUUGUUCGGAAUCACUGGGCGUAAAGGGAGCGUAGGCGGA